rnacentral:rRNA from 1 species
GAUGAACGCUGACAGAAUGCUUAACACAUGCAAGUCUUUGGCGAAGCUGUGCUUGCACCGCCUAGCCAAGGCGGACGGGUGAGUAACGCGUAAGGAACUUGCCCUGCAGUCAGGGAUAACAGACGGAAACGACUGAUAAGACCUGGUAAAGUCAGGCGGACUCAUGUCCAGCCUGAUGAAAAGAGAUGCUGCAGGAGAGCCUUGCGUCCUAUUAGCUUGUUGGUGGGGUAACGGCCCACCAAGGCGAUGAUAGGUAGCCGGCCUGAGAGGGUGGACGGCCACAAGGGGACUGAGAUACGGCCCUUACUCCUACGGGAGGCAGCAGGGGGGAAUAUUGGACAAGGGGGGCAACCCUGAUCCAGCAAUUCUGUGUGCACGAUGAAGGUUUUCGGAUUGUAAAGUGCUUUCAGCAGGGAAGAAAAAAAUGACGGUACCUGCAGAAGAAGCGACGGCUAAAUACGUG